UGCUCAAAUUCUACACUCAACAGCCCCUGUUCUUAAGGGCCCCCUUGACCCAUUUGUUGCCAUGGAUCUCACCUAAUGUCCUGCCUUACUCUAAAGAUUCCAGAACCAUCAUUUCGGGACUGUUUUGUAGCCUCUGGAGAGUGCCAUCUACAAAGCCUCUCCCCACCCUCUGAGCUUCCCCCUCAAUCCUCUUGGCUACUGGAUAGCAGUAACAGUGUUUGCCCCUUAUCCUGGGAGGAACAGGUUAGGGCAGGGAGGAUAGAGGGGAGAUUAACCCCUCUUGGGUGGUGUGGUGUCCACUAACGGUUGUCUUUCCAGCAGCCAGACUCCUAACUACUUCCUUCUUCUUAAGAGACUUGAGAUUUUUGUCCAGGUGUUCACCCCUUCCACGUGUGACUGAAGAGAUGCUAUUCCAACCCACCUCGGGGGAUGGCUCCUGGUUAUUCAGCCAAUCCUAGUGACAGCGACCUACUUGAAGACGUCCUCUCCUUGCUGUAAGGCCACCACAAAACACACCAAACACCAGAGACAACCCACUCUCAAGUCUCCACCAGACCCAGCAUGCUCCUGCUCCAUGCUCCAGGACUGAACACAGAGUGGACGGAGUGGGGCUCUCCUGUUCCGGAACCUGCCCAACAAAUUCAUCUGUAAAUACUUCUUGUGGGUCCUGAGUCUACAUCUCAUGUCUUUAUUAUCAUUCCUGGUGGAAGGCCUGGUGUGACAUCUGCCCAGCAAAGCUGUGUGGUGGUAAAGCGCCUAAGGAUAAGGACCCUGCAGUCCCAAGUUCAAGACACAGAGUCGCACACUCCACCAGCAGAGAAGCCAGCCCCACGAAGGAGAAUGGCAGUGAGCUGAUGAGCCUGUGAGUGUGUCUCCCAAACACAUCAACCUAAUAACUGCUCGUCCUACUCCCCCGGCAAUAACAUGAGCUGAGGAGUGGAAAGUUUUCCUAACAGGUGCGGCUGCUCACUCCGACCUAUGCUCCACAUCACUGUCCUCCAACUGCCUCGCGGUCCCCACCAGAACCGAGUCAAUGCCACCGCCAUGCCUGUGACUCCCAAAACUGAAACAAAAGCAGCACGUAGAUAAAUUCUGCAUCUGUCAAACAAAACUGCUGAAGGAGCCAGGUCUGCAGAGUCUAUGGAGAAGGGCUCACUCCAUACGCGGUCAUUGCGCAAACAACACGGCCCACUGAGGAGACGUCACACAGUU